ACUUAAAUUGAAGAGUUUGAUCAUAGCUCAGAUUGAACGCUGGCGGCAGGCCUAACACAUGCAAGUCGAGCGGUAGCACAGAGAGCUUGCUCUCGGGUGACGAGCGGCGGACGGGUGAGUAAUGUCUGGGAAACUGCCUGAUGGAGGGGGAUAACUACUGGAAACGGUAGCUAAUACCGCAUAAUGUCGCAAGACCAAAGUGGGGGACCUUCGGGCCUCAUGCCAUCAGAUGUGCCCAGAUGGGAUUAGCUAGUAGGUGGGGUAACGGCUCACCUAGGCGACGAUCCCUAGCUGGUCUGAGAGGAUGACCAGCCACACUGGAACUGAGACACGGUCCAGACUCCUACGGGAGGCAGCAGUGGGGAAUAUUGCACAAUGGGCGCAAGCCUGAUGCAGCCAUGCCGCGUGUGUGAAGAAGGCCUUCGGGUUGUAAAGCACUUUCAGCGGGGAGGAAGGCGAUAAGGUUAAUAACCUUGUCGAUUGACGUUACCCGCAGAAGAAGCACCGGCUAACUCCGUGCCAGCAGCCGCGGUAAUACGGAGGGUGCAAGCGUUAAUCGGAAUUACUGGGCGUAAAGCGCACGCAGGCGGUCUGUCAAGUCGGAUGUGAAAUCCCCGGGCUCAACCUGGGAACUGCAUUCGAAACUGGCAGGCUAGAGUCUUGUAGAGGGGGUAGAAUUCCAGGUGUAGCGGUGAAAUGCGUAGAGAUCUGGAGGAAUACCGGUGGCGAAGGCGGCCCCCUGGACAAAGACUGACGCUCAGGUGCGAAAGCGUGGGGAGCAAACAGGAUUAGAUACCCUGGUAGUCCACGCCGUAAACGAUGUCGAUUUGGAGGUUGUGCCCUUGAGGCGUGGCUUCCGGAGCUAACGCGUUAAAUCGACCGCCUGGGGAGUACGGCCGCAAGGUUAAAACUCAAAUGAAUUGACGGGGGCCCGCACAAGCGGUGGAGCAUGUGGUUUAAUUCGAUGCAACGCGAAGAACCUUACCUGGUCUUGACAUCCACAGAACUUUCCAGAGAUGGAUUGGUGCCUUCGGGAACUGUGAGACAGGUGCUGCAUGGCUGUCGUCAGCUCGUGUUGUGAAAUGUUGGGUUAAGUCCCGCAACGAGCGCAACCCUUAUCCUUUGUUGCCAGCGGUCCGGCCGGGAACUCAAAGGAGACUGCCAGUGAUAAACUGGAGGAAGGUGGGGAUGACGUCAAGUCAUCAUGGCCCUUACGACCAGGGCUACACACGUGCUACAAUGGCAUAUACAAAGAGAAGCGACCUCGCGAGAGCAAGCGGACCUCAUAAAGUAUGUCGUAGUCCGGAUUGGAGUCUGCAACUCGACUCCAUGAAGUCGGAAUCGCUAGUAAUCGUAGAUCAGAAUGCUACGGUGAAUACGUUCCCGGGCCUUGUACACACCGCCCGUCACACCAUGGGAGUGGGUUGCAAAAGAAGUAGGUAGCUUAACCUUCGGGAGGGCGCUUACCACUUUGUGAUUCAUGACUGGGGUGAAGUCGUAACAAGGUAACCGUAGGGGAACCUGCGGUUGGAUCACCUCCUUACCUUAAAGAA
rnacentral:rRNA from 1 species